rnacentral:rRNA from 1 species
UCGUCUACUAGUGAGGCUACCGAACGUUGGAAACAGCGGUUAGGAGCUUACACCCACCCGUGUUUACAUACUAUUGUAUGCUUUGGCGGGCCGUGGCCUCCACUGCGGGCUCUGCUCGUGUGUGCCCGCCAGAGAACCAAACUCUGAAUGUUAGUGAUGUCUGAGUACUAUCUAAUAGUUAAAACUUUCAACAACGGAUCUCUUGGUUCUGGCAUCGAUGAAGAACGCAGCGAAAUGCGAUAAGUAAUGUGAAUUGCAGAAUUCAGUGAAUCAUCGAAUCUUUGAACGCACAUUGCGCCCUGUGGUAUUCCGCAGGGCAUGCCUGUUCGAGCGUCAUUUAACCACUCACGCCUAGCGUGGUAUUGGGGCACGCGGUCUCCGCGGCCCUCAAAAUUAGUGGCGGCGCCGGUGGGCUCUAAGCGUAGUACAUACUCCCGCUAUAGAGUUCCCCCGGUGGCUCGCCAGAACCCCCAAUUUUUACAGGUUGACCUCGGAUCAGGUAGGGAUACUCCGUC